CUCAUCUCAAUGACAGUAGGCAGGGGUGAAAAAGGGACCCAGAACCUGGGGGGGUCUUUGGAAGACCCCAGAGGAAGAUGAGUUCUUAGUGACCAAGGCUUGCCCCAGACAAUUAAAUGCGAUGCGACUGACAUCUCAUGUAUUUUCCAUUUCCGGGAUGGGAUGCAGGAACCCCCACCCCAAUCUCCUCUGUGUCCUCUAGCCCCUAGAACAUGGCAUGGACACCUAUGAAAGGAGGAAAGAAAGAAGACUGACACACAGGUCAGACAACAUGCUGUGUUGCUGUUACCACUGUUUACCAGUGACUUGCUUCCCCAAUGUUGAAGUAUAACACCAGAGAAGCACGCUGAGGCAAGAUUAGAGUGGAAAAUAGCUGCUUUAUUAAAGGACAGCAGAAAAGACCUCUCCCGGAGGAAGAAGGGAACCCAAGAGGUAGAAUCCGUGGAAGGGAGAAUGUAUUCCCCUUUUUAUAGCUAAAGUCUUCAUCUGGUCCCCUCCCCCAUUCCUGUCCUUUGUUCUGUUAUCUUUCAGUGCUGAAAUGUAAGUGGGAAGGCCGGAAGGGUCGGGUACAGGUGGUCCAAAGAAGUAAUCUGGGCAGGAAGGACUUUGGGGUCAGCAUCUUCAAGUUUGCUGGGAGCUGCUUCAUUAACAUUUCUUUGGGAUGGGCUCUGGGCCUUGAGGACAUUAACAUUCCAAGAGUUGUUCUGGUUUUCCUGGACUUCAUUCUCAACAUGGCCUUCAUUUUGGAUUUUACUCGAUAUUAAACCCGAUUUACCUAACUACACUAACUACUUAUCUUUAAAUCUGGCUUAAUUGCCAUCGUUGGGCAGGUAAACAGCCUCAUCUUUCUUCAUCUUUUAUGCCAGGAAAUGUUCUGAAUAGUCUAUAUAAGUUAAUUCACCUGCUCCCAAGAGGUGAAACCAUGUGAUUAGUUCUGGCCAAGGGCCUGAAUGCCUUCAGGCCACGGCAUUUAUUUAUUUGUCAGUGCCAAGACUUCUAGAGCUUCUUUCUCUCUGCAAGGGAAGCCUGCAAAGUUCAGGUGGCUAUUCCUGUAACCUGGGCAGCAAAGCCCCCCAGGGGACCCUUCAUGGAUAUACAACUUUGAGAAGUAUAGUUUUACUCAAACACAGAAAUUUGGGGUUGUUGCAGCAGCAUAAGCAGGCCUAUCCUACCUGAUCAUUACUCUCAUUUUGCUUCCAGGCAAAUGGGAACAGAAAAGAUCAAGUAACUUGUCCCAGGCCACACAUCCAGGAAGUGGUGAAGACAGGAUUAUGAACCCAGGCAGGGUGUCUGCCUAGUCCACUUUGGACCUCAAGUAAACACAGUUUUCAAAACUAUCCAGAGGCCACCUGAGAUAGGAAUUUAGGAUUAGGAGAGAAAAGUAUGGAAUCUUAAGGGAAGUACCCUCAAGCCAUUGAAAUGGAGAAUCAAACCAUGCAAAACCACAGUGAUAAACCUUGGCAGAGCCCUUGUAAAAUGAGGGAAAUAUGCAAGCCCAAGAAAACUGGCUUGAAAUUGUGUAGCUCCACCCUGGAUCCACUUCCUGUCCAGCCCUUCUAUACAUAUUGGACCCUCCAGCCCAAGUCAGGGCUGCUUCUCCCUCUUGAGUCAUCCCACAUUCUCUCUCUCUCUCUCUUUCUCUCUCUCGUUUUUUUGGUGUUUUUUUUUUAUAUAUAUUUUAUUUUAUUUAUUUUACUUUAUUUAUAGUGGGGCUGAGAAUCGAACCCAGUGCCUCACACAUGCUAGGCAAGCGCACUACCACUGGCCACAGCCACAGCUCCUCCUUUCUCUUGAAUGUGCAUCUAACUUCCUAAAUGAUCCUCUGUUUAUGUCUUUGUCUGUCUUGUAAUGAAACUGUUUUCCAGCUAAGAACCCUGCUGGUCCUGAGUUGACUGGACUCCUUUGCUUUGCCUUCUCCUUCUGGAACUCCUCAGACCCUUCAUCUGAGACACCUCUGCUCUCCUGACACAUCUACUUCUCUUCACGUCCAACUCCUCACCCUUUGCCCUAUUCCAGAACAUCCUUUUCCUAGGUGUCUGUGUCAGAGAGAAAAACUUUUCCUGUAUGUUCUUAUGUUCAGUACUGGUACUCCGUGAAUUAAACUAACAAAAGACAGACUCAAAAAAGAACAAACUUUUUUUUUUUUAAAGAGAGAGUGAGAGAGAGAAUUUUUUAAUAUUUAUUUUUUAGUUUUCGGCGGACACAACAU
rnacentral:lncRNA from 1 species